CACAUCUCCAUUAUUUCGGUGAAGUCAUAGUCCUGUAACUGCACAUAGACUUCUAAUUCCUCCUGUUUGUUCUUCAGGCCACAGCCUGUACUAGUGUACGUACAUUCAAGUGUGCUGAUUUCCCAUGAAGGGAAUAAAAGGUUCCCUCAUAAGACUGUGGGGCAAGCACUUCCUUACUUACAUCCUUGUGUUUCUGGUGAUCCCACUUCAUCCUUGUUUUGUUGUUUACCAUGUCCCUUCUGUUUACAACACCUAGACUCUUUGCCUGCCUACCCUCUCCACCACUUGGUAUCAUAAAGCAAAGAAUCAGCAAAAAAUCGUCAUGCUCACGUUCAGAUUAAUUUUAAUUAGUUUAACCACCUGUGAAAAUCAGCAGAAAACACAGUUUCUAAUAAAGAAGAUUGCUUUUUUUUAUAAAUUUGGCACACUUAAAACAUUACUUUGUUGCUCCUCAUUGGCAGAAAGACUCAGGAGUUUGAACUGUUAAAUAUUGCUAAAGUUGUUAGUCUUUGUUCUCAAAUAAAUCUUUUAGGAAAACUAAGAUUUUGCUCAGGUCUAGGUUUGUGUUGUGUGCCUGAAGUGGCAUUUUCCCUUAAAAUAUAAUGCAGUAUUUAACUCACCAAUAUAUUUUCAGUUUAUUUUCAGUCUUGUAUUGGAUUCAUAUAUUUAUUGGGCUAAUCUGAUUGAUGUAGUUUCUGAUGAAUAAAGUAUAAACUUUCAUUCUUUAUUACUCCUUGACUUAUAACCCUUCCAAACAGCACUGUAGUCUUUUCUUCUGUUACACGUUGAGAUAAAAAUUUUAAUUAUGCCAUUUUCCUACCUAGGGAAGAUUUCACCUCUUAGUGUUGUAGUUCAUUAUCUCUGUAGUUAUAUUAUCUUUUUUUUGUAUACAUUUUGAAAUAUAUAAAUUUUAUGAGCUGCAGGCAUUUAAUUCCAAUCAUUAUGCUAAGAUUAAUAAUUGAAAUCCAGUAGCAAAAAUAGAAUUUGAAGUAUGAAGACAAAAUAUCCAUCUAAAAUAAUGCAAAAUUUAAUAUUGGACUUUCUUAUUGUUUUGUUAUAAGAAAAAUUUAAAAAGUUGACUUUGUAAAUGUAUGACAGAAACUCAAAUUUACAAGGAGAUUAAAUUAUUCUUGAUAAAAAUUGCAGUAAUUAUAAUAAUACAUUAGUAUCUUCUGUAGAUCAAAUGAUCUUUAUCUUAAUAAUAAUAUGGUAGAGGUGUUUAGCAGUUUUGCUUAGUGCAGAGAAGACGUGUAUACCAUAGUCCAUGUUGGACUUUGUAGCUCUAAAAUAUUACCUGAAUAUUUUGUGAAUUUUUUUGUUUGGUGUGUUUUUUUUCUUGUUGGUUGAUUUUUUGAGGUUUUUUUAAUUUUUUUCCUUUCAAAAGGAAACAUAAACUUCACUUAAUCUUAACCACUUUAGAGGCAGCAUUCCAGUACACAGGUGGCCUUUUAUGGGAGAAAGAGAGGGAAAGAAGUAGAACUAACUAAAUACAACUCAAAUAUCUUUAGAAGCUUGCAUUAUUAACUGUUUCUAUAAAGAAAUUUGUGUGAUAUACAAAUUACCAGCAUAAUUUGAACCACAUGAUACAAAGGAAGAAGAGUCCUCUGAUACUUUAGUUGUCUUCUACACUAAAAUAUAGCUGUUUUGGUGACUUUGACAGCCUGAAGUUAAGUAUCUAGUUUCUACUUAGAGUACAAAUUUGGGUAUUUCAGGAAGAAUUCUGCAGAAACCAGCAUAAAGAUCAGGGGCAUAUUUAGGUUAGCCAGAAAGAGAGCCCAAAUGGAAGAGCAUAUUUUCAGUCUCAUGAUGUCCAGUUGUCUCACUUUAGGCCCUGAAUGGACAUGUGUCACAAUUUCAACUACUUCUAGAAGCUAUUCACUUGUCCUGAUCUUGUCCCAUAGAGGUCUCAAGAAAUAUAUCACCUACUUUCUGAUGCUCCAAAUUUCUUACGCAGUAGCAUAGGGGUUACAACACCUGUUUCAGUGCCUGCUGAGAUUUGAAACUUCUUCCACUUCCUAAGCAAAUAUCACUAAGUACCACAAUAGGUCAUUCUAGAAUAGAAACUGCCUUGCUGUAUUUAGUGUUUGAAGUCGUUAUGUAAGGUGCUCAAUGACACUAAAUUCAGUUCUUACUUAUCUCCCUAGUGGUUGCUUUACUUACUCUAUCUUUUCUCCUUUGACCUAGCAUGCAUUUAAUUAUACUGUGCAAAGUAGAGCAAAUUCAAAAGAAAUUCAGAAUACCUUUCACUUGUAGCUUUUGCUAUAGUUUGAUGACUAACAUAAUUACUUUUAAAAAAAAAGCACAGUAUGGAACAGAACCUAGAUCUUUUACAGCUUGGCUGAGUCCAUUAGAUGUUAAUUUAUAAAAUAAGGAAUAAAUUUAAUCUCAAUUUCUUUUCUUUUUUUAGGUGGAAAUAGGUGUGUAUUUCACAAUGCAAUUUUCAAUGGAGUUCUGUAUGUAAGAUAAGGAAAGAUACAACUCAGAUGAUAGGAGCUACACAUAAGAUAGAAAACAAGCUCCUGGAGUGUAGAGCUAGAUGCAAAAAUGUGGACACUUGAGCAACUCUUGGCCAAAAUAAAAUGUCUAGAUGUCUACAAACCUAAAAAUUAAAAUAAACAAAAUACAAGCACCUUCAAAAGUUACCAAAGUUUUGGUCUCAGAAAGUAUUAAAUAUGUGUUUUCAGAAUUUAAAUAGGUUCGGUACUAAUUAUCAGUAAAGUGUAUGUUUAAGGGGUUAAAUAUUUGUAUGGGUUUGAGCUCACUACUGAAAGGCAAAGUACAUAUAAAGUAAUGUUUAAAGUAGAGACAUGAAAGACUAGUCCACAUGUAUUAGGAUUCACUUUUCUGUGAGUAGAAGUCCUAAUUCUGAUCUACAGUUCCACAGCAGUAGGAUUUAAUUUGUCAUUUCCUUGUAACAUGGUACUCCACACUGAGAUUAGAUGUCCCUUCUAAGCAUUGUUACAAAUAUUGUGCCACAGUGAAUAUUGUAUAGCCUUUUCAGAGAAGACCAAGUAUGUUUUAGUACCACAAUAAAGUGAUGCAAAUAACCAUACUCACAGAUAAGUUAUCUAUCUAAAUCACCACCACUUUUUAAAGGUUUUAAAAUACAAUAAAAGCUCAAAUAUUUUUCUCAUCAUAAACUGGAAUUCAAAGUUGAGAUCAACCACCAAUCCACUAAAGACUAUUUUCCUUGAUAUUGUGAAUAUAGGCAGUAAGCAUUAAAAUAUCCAACAUCUCAAGGUUGACAUAUCUAUUAAGAUGUCUCCUUGUUGUGCUGAAAUAAUUUGUGUAAAAGUGUUUGUUCAGAAUGAGACAAGUGUACUGUGCAUAGUUUAGACUUAAUGCUCUUAGACUUUAAUGCUGAGAGGAUUUUGCAUGUGUUUGAACCAUAUUUUUGUUAAAUAUUUCUUUUGUCAUGCUGUGAGGAUAGAAUAUCCAUUUUUCCUGGAAGAUUUUGUUGAGAAGAGACAGGGUUUUUGCUUAGGAAGGCUUUCUAUCUAAAAGGUAACUCUUCCUCAAAGGCAGUUUCAAUGCUUUCUUCCCACCCCUGCAUACCAAGAGAAGUUCUCAACUUCUUUCUCUGAUAUGUGAGAGGAGAGAGAUAACAGAAAUGCUACAGGGUCUCUGCGGCCCCGGGGAGUGUCGAAGGGGCCAGCAAUGAUAAAGCCUGGGAGAGAAUAGGAGGUUUGCCUUUCCCACUGAGGCCCAGUGCUGUCUUGCAGCACCGAGAAGCUUGUAAGUUUUAAUGUCUUUGCCUCUGAAAUAAACCCUUUGAAUCCUUCCCACUGCCUUGGCAUUUGUGGGGAAGAUACCUGCGUAUAUUUUACCUUGCACAUGUAUAUACCUAUCAUAAGCAGAAGUCAGUUGUGCACAGACAAGUACAAACAUCAAGCUGAAAGCUGAUCCAAAUACUUAUAGUUAGCAAAUGUUAAGUUUCUCUAGCAAUAAAACUGUUAAGUUUAAUGCAAAAGAAUCUAAAUUGAAAAAAAAAUUAAAAAAAGAGAGAGUGAAGAAGAGAGUGGGAAGCUUAUAAGAAGCAGACCCUUGGGAACAGAAUACAAGACAGAUGAUAUAGGCUUAUGAUUUUCAAUAAAACAUAAAUCUGAUGCAGAUCUAGAAGGGAAAAGAUGUCAUCAGAACUGCAAAGGAGACUGAUAAAUCCUAGCCCUAACCUGCUUCCUGAAACAUGCAAGAAAUAAAUGACUAUGGGAAGUGGAGUAAUGGAAAUAAGAUUAAAUGUAAAUACAGUAUCCUCAAUGGUGCACAGUAAAAGUUAAACCAAGAAUUUGUCAUAAACUGGAAGAUCAUCAGCCAGAAGUGAAUGAACAAGAAGUUACCCUUAUAAGUGGAUCAGAAGAUGCCCCAAGCAGAAACCAGCUGAGAGAAAGGUAAGUGUUUCUAGAAUAUGCAGGGAAAUAUGUUUCCAGCAGAAAACCUGAAAUAUUAGUAUGACUCUGCACACCACUUCUCUGGAAUAUGAUAUACUACUCUGAUCAGUCAUAUUAAAAAGAAAAAAAAUCAAUCUGCGUGAGUAAAGGUGAGUACUACUGCGGUAACCAAAGGAAUAGAAAGUCCUAAGAGAAGAAUGUUAUUUGUAAAUACAAAAGUGAGUUAAACAGAAGAUGUAAAGAGAUAAAAAUAUUAAACUAAAAAUAAAGGAUUGUAACCUGCACAUGAAUACACCGAGUGAACACUGAAAUGUUUUCACCUGUCUGAGUGGUACUUGAAUGGCCUUUCAUUACAGCUGGCAGGGCUGAAACCCAGGUAUAAGAUGGUUGCUAUUUCAGUCAAGGCCAUUGAAAGUAACAUUCAGUGUUUUCCAAACAAGGAAAUAAACUCAGUGGUUGGAGGGAUUCAGUCCUAUCCAAAGUUGUCAAUUUCUUUGGCCUUCAGACAAAACAGUGAUCUAAUCCAGCCUUGAAUAGAUCUCUCUCUCAUGCCUCCUGCCAAAGGCAAAGAUCCUGAUCACUGUAUAUCCUUCAUGGCUUUGAAAGCCUUUCUUCAGAAAAUCCUUCUUUCUUUUUUAGGCCAGAAUAUUUACAAACUCUUUGUUAAGUUUGUCUUGAAAUUACUUCCACUGUCUUAUUUCAGUAGCAUAAUGUGCUGAGAUAAUAGGCUCAGGUCAGUAUGGUUCUCUGAAAUACCAAGUGCAUUUAUGUUGUUGUGGAAAGUUAUUGAUCAAGUGAGGUAAAUGAGAAGACAUGAUGGGAUAGUGGAAAUUUUGCAGGUUACUAUGAUCUGAGUAUUCAACUAGCAAAAUAAACAUUUGAAUUUAUACUAUCGUGAAUAUAACUGGCUAUUAGAAGUGCAGCAUUUAUAGCGAGCAUCCAGUAGUAGAAGAAUUUCUAAACCAAAAAUAUCCCAGAUAAAAAAGGUCUACAAAUAUACAAGGUGAUCACUUUUGUAAAAUAGCAUUUGACCAUGCAGAGUAAAAAAAACCCCAAAAUAUAAUGUAUUUAUAUUAAUUUUACUUUUGAAUUAUGCAUUUUUUACUUUUUAGCAUCUCAUUUAAGAAGCACAUUUAUAAUCGAUAGGAGAAGUUUGGUUAUUUUCCUGUGCUAUCAUAUACUUUAAAAUAAUUGAGCCUAGAGGUGCAGAGGGAAGCUGCAUUCUUUCUAAUUGAGUUCAUCUGAACUUUUUACAAUCCACUCUCAGAAAAUUUAAUUGAUAAUUAACAGCACUCCAGACCAUCUAUUUGUGAGGCUUUAAAAAUACAUGAAAAGCUGAUGACUCAUUGACUGAAUGAAAAACAGUAUACACAAUUAAUAUAAAGAAAAUCUUGAUUGCCUAAAUCAAAGCUUACUGUGUUAGGCAGACAAAUGAAAUUUGUUACAUGAAGAAUUCUUUAAUGCCCAAAUUGGUUUUCAAAGAGCAAAUAUAUUAACUAUCAAACUAUUCAGUGCCACACCACAGGUCUCCCUUCUAGAGAUCAAAGGGGAGCAAGCAGUCCAUUGCAGCAGGUCAGAGGCUUUGUCUUCUGCAAAUCACAGCUUCCAGCUGCUGACUUCUGGCAUUAGGAAGUAGGAAGUUACAGAUGUUGCAACAUUUAACCACACAUUUUCGUGAAAAAAGUCCAGGCAGAGAUUCUUCAAGAAAUGUGGCCCUUUUUCACCAGUCACUGAGUUAGAGAUAUCCCAAUAUACUUUUCAUCUAAGAAGCUAGUGGAUUUAUUCCAGUGUUGAUAAUAAUGCAUGUACCUCUUGCCUAUAUGCUGAAGAUAAGAAGUUCCAAGAUACAAGUUUAACAACCUUUUGACUCUAUUUCCUGAUUAGGUAAUCUGAGGUACAGGAAUACUGCAACACACUCGCUGGAGUCAAUAUCUGAACAGCAAUAAAUUGAUGCUGACUUUUAGGUUAAAUUUUAGCCUCAAGACCACGCGUUUUCUUUAUGCACAGAAAGAGAAGAAGCACAUAAUAAUGUUGAAUACAUAUAGGAAAUGCUGUAUAUAUAGGUGUGUAUAUAUAUAUAUAAAGACUUGAAAUUCAACUAAGUGUAUGUGCUUCACAGGUUCAUCUACAGGGAAGAUGAGGAGAAUUUUAUAUAACCAUGCACCACUCUUAAGAGGCUUUUUCAAAACAGUUCUUUUUCUCUUGCUAUAGUAAAUAAACUCUAACACUGGAAGGAUAUUGGUAAGAUACAGUAGCUGAGUGUAAAAUCCCAGUCAAACACAGAUGGGAAAAAAAUAACAAACACAGGUGCAUGCUUGACAGAUGUUGAAUAAUUUUUACUUCAGUAGGAAAAGGUUCAGCACAAGACCUUAAAUAAUUUGACACCUUUGAAUGCCAUCAGUCAAACACACAAGCAAGGAAGCCACUAAUCCUGUGGUGAAGAGACAAGGAAGUUAUAUGUUUCUGUUAAAAGAGAGGAAAUAUUAAACUCUGAACAAGAAAGUAAACUUGUUAAUUCCAGCGGGGUUGCCAACUCACCUCUAAAUUUUUGUGUGACUCUAACUUUUUGGAAAUUGAGGUGGAGCCUUUAGAACAACCACAAGGUUGGCAGGAUUAUCAGCCUCUCAAUAAAUAUAUCCUUGUGUGGUUGAUUUCCAUUUGCCAAUUCUCCAGAACAAGUUAAAUUGCAUGAAUGAGCAAUACCGUUGUCAUGAACAACUUAAACAGGUGAAAAACCCAGAAAAUUUUGUCUCCUUUCUUCCUUUCUUAGCAUAAUUCCACUGUAUAUCUUUUUUAACUUGAGAAAAUACAAAUCAGUUAUAAAUACAAAUAAUUUAUAAAAGAAAAACACCUCAGAGCAGCAAAUUACACAGGAAAAAAUAAAAUAUGUAAUACUUAAAAAGUCUAAUUCUCAUUUGUUUCCUGGAAGCCAGUUACAGGAAAGCAAAACACAUGCUAGCGGAAAAAAACAAUAUUCAUCUGAAUUACACAAGGACUUUGAGGCCACUCCUACACAUACAUCUCACAAACAACAUACUCUGACUUCUAAGGAUAUCUGGCAUGGAGAUUUAGUGUGAGCAACUCUUUUGGUGUCAGAUUCUUGUCCCAAGUCUUAAGUCAAUAUGGAAAUGCUUGGCCUGAAUAAUCAGGACUUGUGAUUGCAAUUGACUCCUAAGUUCCAAAAGAACAGCACAAAAUGCUGAAAAUGAUGAAAGGAGGGAAGAGACUUAGAACAGACUCUAUAUUUCUUGUCUAUUUUAACCAGAGCUAACGAGCUCUGGAUCAGAUCUUUAGCAAAUGAGGAGGAUGAAUACACCUGUAAAUGAAGGCUUGGGAACACUGAUAGUGCUGAAACAAAUAGUGGACUAUUGAGGAAUGAUGACAAGAGAUAUAAGCAUUCUUGUGAGCUAUUUGUACAGCAAUUACUAGUAAUUAUUUCUACUGUGAUUGGCAAAAAAUUAUAUUGAUAAUGGGAUUAAGGAUAUGAAGAUUAUUUCAGUAAUUCUUUUGAUUCUCAUUUUAAAGUUUCAUGCUUCUGUCAUAGCAUAGAAACAAGGAAAAUAUGCUUCUGUUAUUACUCAUUCAAACUCUCUUUAGAACAGGAACAGUUGUUUUUGUGUGCUGUGCUCUUUUCCCUUAAUUCACAGAGAUGAUUUGGAUGAGAAGAUUAAUUAGAUUCCUUUUGCUGUUUAUUUCACUUAUUGAUGUUCCCUGCCAGACAAACCAAAGCUACUUGAGAUAUCUAGAGGAAAAUCAGAGAAUUUUAAAAGACCCAAGGCAAAUUAUUUAUUUAUCUUAACCAAAUUUCAAUGGUAUGCUUGUAGUGAAGAGAUUUUUCUGUCUCUAAAUCUCUUGCACAAGUAUGUGUGUAUGCAUGUGUCUUUCUGUUAUGGAUAUAUAUAAGAGUAAAAAAUUAUAACAAAUUUAAAUCAGGAUUAAGGACAAAAGAAGUUUCUGCAUCUCUCAACAAACCAAUUAGAUGGCAACUCUUUAGCAGACUAAUACAAUGUUUGAAAUGAACAGCUCUUUCUAAAGAAGUGCAAAUAAUAUUCUCUCUGAUUAUAGACAUUGUAGCUGAGCGGGGAUAAGAGAUGAUGUAAAUCCAUUAGUGAAGCACUGCUUGCCUUCAUUUCAGUUUAAUAUUUCUUAAAGCUAUAAAAUUGUAUUAUGUUAAUGUAAUGUACAGUCCAAGUGAUAAAGGCAGCUAAUGUGAUUACCACUCACUGUGCUAUAAACCUUUCAGAAAAGCUGCAGAUAAAUUGGUAUUCAACUGUUUCUCAUGAUGAUGAUGUUAUAUAGAGCAGUUAACAUGUUGAAAGCAUCUUCUGUUCUUUUGGGACAUUCUUAGAUGCCAAAAUGUUUAAGUAGAUACUAGAACUGACCUUCAAAGCAGUUCAAAAAUAUGGUAAUGCGUAGGUACUGACUUCCCUAUUGCUCACUUGUAAAUACCUGUACUUUGGUGUUUAGAGGUAACUCAAUCUAGAUCAUCAGCAGAAUGCUGAUGAGAACAUCAGCAGAAUAGGACUAGGAAAACUGUUGCGCAGAUUCAUACCCAGCCACACACUGUCUUUGUUCUCCAAAAUGGAAUCCAUGCUUGGAGACAUUCACCCAGUUUUCCUGAAGGCAAUAAGCUUAAUGGCCAACAGUAGUAACUGAAGAAGGGUAAAUUGAUCAAAAUAUAGGAGGAACUAGGUUUGUUCAACCCGGAAAAGGGAAGGUAGCACAUAACAGGAGCCUGGCGAUACCUAUGAGAAGUCAUGAAGCCUGAGUCAGUCUCUUCACACUGGUUUGUGGCAGGGGAACAAGUGGAUAUAAGGGAAAUAUUUUUCUUCAUCAGGACUGUCAAACAGUGUAGCAGAAUGCCCAUAGCAGUUGUGAAGUGUCCAGUCUUAAAGCUUUUCAAGACCGACUGUAUAAAGUGCUGAGGAACUUGGUUUGACCUCAUGAUUGUUUCAACUUUGGCAGGUCAUACUUAAGGUCCCUCCCCGGUUGUCUUAUGUUGUGAUACUAUGAUUCUGUAUUUUCAGUGCAACGUUACCUAGUAGUGAGAUGUCAGAGAAUAGCAAGGGGGUGGCAGUGAUAGAAAAUUAGAGGGAAAUAAAUGGAGAGCUAAGUGCAAUUUAUUAUGGAAGUCAUUCUCCAGACAUUUAAAUUGUUAGAAAAUUGCCUUUUACUAUCCCAUAAUAGGCAAAGAUACCUUGGCUAAGAAUUUAGGAAACAUCAUUAACUUGAAUUGAUAAUUGGAAAGAAGACUUGUGGAGAUACUUUAUGAAUAAUACUGAACAGUUUCUUGAUGUUACUUAUGGAAGAAGCACACGUUAUUCACAUCUCUCUUCAUCCUCUUGUCUUGCCCACUGUAUUACUUUAUUCAUACCAGAUUGUAUGUAAGCUUAUGCAGACAUAUAAUUCCUUUCUGCCCUCUGACUCAAGAAAGGGGCUAAAAUCUACUAGAAAAUAUACCAGUCUAAAAAAUUAAGAACUCAAAAGAACACGCAUAAUAAGUAUCACUUUCAAAGAGAGAUGGGAGCAAAAUUCCCAAGCCUAGUUACAGAUGUAGACAUCUCCCAAUACUUCCCAAAUCCUUGUAUCUAGGGGCUUAACUGUAUCUAAUGUCAUGAGACUCAGUAGCAUAUUAAAGCUUAAAAAGUCAGGGUAAAGCAUUUCAGUUUCUUUCUAAUGGUGAUUAAUUAAUUUUGUAUUCAUUUGAGUAACAUUAAUCAGAAUUAAUUCAUUUAGCAUGAAUGUGGAUAGAACAUUUAAUUUCUUCUGCACUUCAGGAGAACCUAUUUGAAUGAAUAAUUGUACAAAAACGAAUAGCAGAGAGAAAGGAAUUGAAAGUUUGCGUGCCAGAUAUAAAUUGUACAAUAAAAUAACAUAAAUCCACGAGUACUUUAUUUGUUCAACUUUAAUAAGUGGCACAUUCACUCCAUGUAAAUACAGUAUAGGAAAUGUAUAGUCCUGUGCCAUGGGAAACAUACAACAUGAAGUUGAUUUAUGUCUUGACACAUGUCAUUAAUUCAGUAGUGACAAUCAAUAACAACUUCAAAGAAGUAUCAUAAAAAUACUAGCAGAUCUGCCAUUUUUUGUUUAAAAUUGAGGAUUUGCCAUUCUUCCUUUUUCCAGACUCAGGCAGCAACUGUUACAUAAGAAAAUCUCAGUACUUCAAAGCCUACCAUGAUACGGUUCUUCAGAGAAUGUUUUUCGACCUAUCCAAUCACUUGGAAUUGCUGCCUUCUUCCCUUUGCUCAUAUUUUUUUUCCCCCAGAUUCUGUUCUCUAGAGAUCACGUUAGACUGACCAACAUUUAAGGUUCUGAAGCAGUAUCUGAAAUCAUUACUUUCAAGAAAAGAAUCUUAUUUUUUAAGUAGACUCACUGAAGUAAUUUGGAUGACUUUUCAAACUGUUAGCUAGAAUUGAAAAGUUAUGAGACUCAAAGCCUUGUAAACCACAUCCCUGAUGUGGAUGUUUAGUAUUACUCAGAGUUCAAUGACUCAGUCACAGAUUAGGUAGCUUCCAAAAGUUUCAAACUACAGCUCCAGAAAAUUUAUGCCUAAAGCCAAGAAACCAGAUCAGAUGUUACCAAGUGCUGAGUUCUUAGUUUGUGGAUUAUCUAUGAGGUGAACUUAAUUGUGCAGAAGUAGACUCACAUCUGUAAUGUAAAUAAAGGAUUAGGAGUCUGGUUCCUAAAAUAAUAGCAAGGAAUAAAAUGUAUUUUGCUAUGGAAUUUAUUAUAUUUAAUGAAAAUAUAAAUUGGGUGGAUUUACCUUACCGAGCUGCAAGUGGCUAAUGACCUCAUCUUUCCUAGAAAGGAUGAGCACCAGAUAAAAUGCAGAAUAUGUUCUUCCCUCUACUGACCAAAAGGCCAAAAGCUUUCAUGUGAGUUAACUUUUUAACUUCACUUUGAAAUGUUAUUCAACAAAUGCAUCAGUGCUAGGGAUUUCCAAAUUUUCAUCUUAAUCACAUUGUAUUAUUUAUUUUCUUGAUACUGAAACUGUAUCCAAUAUUUUUUGGCUUCAGAUGUGGAGGACCAUCCUUAUCAUCCAUAUUCUAUGUCAUGUAAAUUCUUUCAAUAAAGUCAGGGCUAAGAAAACAGCAGCCAGAUUAAGGUUUAUCUUUUGACAUAUUUUAUAUAUGUGUUUCUGUAGUUUUUAAGAUAGAAAAGUUUGAAAAACCUCAAAUAUUGUGACAGCCUUUUGGGUUUAGAAAGAAGUUCUGUAAUUCAUGACAGCUUCUAACAAGUCACUCCAAAUCUCUGUAGAUUUGGAAGUGGUAACAUUUACAUUGUUGAGCCCUUCGGCAUAUUGCAUGUCGCAAUUUCUUAGACUUGGUUUCCAGUGUGAUGGAUUGCAACCAUAAUGAUAUCAUUAGUUCAGUUUCACAUGCUUUUAGACAUAAAAAUCAUGUUGAUUUGUAAGGAAGUUAAAUAUCACUUUGAGCAUCAGGAAUCAAACCCUCACAUUUCAGUGAGGAAAUAGUGAGAAAUUUUUGUUAAUGAAAUGUCAACAAAGGCUUGAUAUUACAUUCUCCUGAAACACUAAGCUAUGGAGAGAGAAAAGCUAGUUAAUACAAUAUAUUGUUUAUUAAUAUAUCUUGCAGUGCUGAAGAUUUUUUGCAACUCAAACAUAUUUUUGUUUUAGAUUCAGAAUACAGAAUAAUAAAGAAAAAAAUUCUAAUACACUUUAUUUCCUGUUCUUGCUGGUGACACAAGGAUGCAUUUAAUACACUGUGGAAAGAGAACAGAAUCAGCAGCUGUCUUACCUGGGAAAAGAGCUUAGUGUGCAAGCAAAUCCUUGAUUGCCCAAUCAAAGAGAAGAGAUGAAGCAUAUACUGCCCUCAAAUGAUAACUAGAAACUGGCUAUGUUCAUUACCAAAAUACCCAAGUCCUUAUCAGCACAUCUUGCAGUUUAUACCUCUCAUGCAAUUUACAAAUCUUGAAUAAUCUGACAAGGGCUGAUUUCAGAUGUGGUUAGCAGUCUUGUAAAUAAUCUUCAUGGGGUGAGAGGGGGAAAGAAAGGCAAAUUAAGACCCUGAAGGGCAGUUUCUCAGAUGGCAGCUUGCAAUGGCAGUUUGACAGAUUUUCAGGUGUUGUGGAAGAAUUAUAUGUAAUAACUGUAUGGAUCACUCACUUUCCUCCAAGGAUUACAUAUUUCUUAAAGUGUCAUAAAUACAAAGCUGUGGGAAGCAUUGCCAGGUAGGAAAAUACGAAAUUCGAUUUUAUUUCCCUUGCAACUCAUUUGCAUAAUGUAAUCUGGUAGGUUGUGUUUAUCAGUGGUGGGCAGACAGUUCAAACAAAUGCUCAACAUAUGUAUACCAUCAGCAGCAAAAGGUCAUGGUCUUAGCAGGCAGUUAAAAGAGUAAAGAAAGGCCGGCAUGCCUGCAUUCUCCCUGCAUCAUAUUAACAGCAAAUCAUAGGUCCCUAACAGAAUAUCUGUCAACUUGGAAACAUUUGCUGAGCAUUUUGUUCUGCCUGAUAUAGACUCUUCAAGUAAGUCAUUAUACUGGGAGGCAGCUACUGCCAUUUCAAAAAGUAUCUUGAGACUACAGCAAUUUCAUAUCACUGUAAUUCAACAGCAACUAACUAACAAAUUAGCUAAGUGCACACACUCCAUCCAGUAUGACUGUUUCCAUGGUAAUUGGAUACCCAGUCAUUUUGCUGAAACCUGUUUGCCAGACAUUGCUAAGGACUAGGCAGUAAAUCCUCAGACUUUUCCUUUCUAUGUUUGACUGGUAGGCACGUUGAAUAAUUAACUUUCACAAUUUCCAGAUUCAUAGUAUCUGAUGCUGACUAUUCACAUCCCAAAAGCAGGCUGAUAACUUGUGUUCUGACUUUCUUUCCUUUCAUUCAAUGUCUAAUGAAACAUUAUAAGUUAAACCCCUUGUCUCCUUACACUAACAUACUCCAGUAAAAAUACCUGUUUGACUCAAAACAUGCAGGAUCUUACACAGGGAGUUGUUUCACCACUAAUAGUAGUCAGUGCAUCUAUUGAAGGAUUUAAUCUAGUGUCUUCCCACAAAGGAGGCUUAUUUAAAAUCUGUUAUCUUUUGUCAACUUACUCUAAUUUCUGAGUGUAAAACAACUUUAGUCCAUGAGAACAGUUACAGAAUGAGCUAUAGCCAUAUUGAGGAUGAAACAGGAAACGGGACAAGGGAAAGAAAAAAUGAACUGUCCAAUAUCUUUGAUAAACUGAAAACAAGCGUUAUGACAAUUGUUUUCUGUGCCUGUUCUUACCCAACCUUUCUUCUAAAUGAUCUGUUUAUGUGCCAGUAAAAAAACAGGUCCUAUUUUUAAUCUCAUAUUCCAUCUGCUUUGGGAAUUACUGCUAAGGGCAGGUGGCAAAUGAGUUCUUUCUAAUUGUCCAAUCUUCUCCAUGGGACAAAUUCUGCCUCCUUGUUCAGGCUGAGUAGUUCUUUACCAGUCUUGGAAUAGAGUAAGGAAUAGCUCCAGCUGAGUACAUGUGACAGAACCUGACUCAGUAUGAAAUGAGGGCACAUACGGUUUAAUGUUACAUGUCUGACGCACUCGAUUUAUUAUGAGAUAAUAAUUUUAGAUGGAAGAUUUCAGCACAAUAAACCAGAGCAUGACUUAAAAGCAUUUGCUUUAUGACUAGUCUUUUUAGUGGCAUGUCUACAUACAGUUGUUUCCAUACCUGUUAGUAUAAUUGUGUUUUGUUGAAUAUAAUGCUUUGAAAAAGAUUGUAUUUCAAGUGAGAAUGAUUUUUUUUUACAGAGUCAGGUUCUAACCUGGAAAACAUCAUAUGAAAGAAAUGACAGCUUGAGGUCUAUAUUCAUCAAUCUGAUUUGUGAAUACCAAGAUUUUUACUGUCAUUUCAGUGAAAAUCCAAAUCGGGUGUAUACCUGAUUGAGUCUUGCAUCUUCAGACACACAUUAAUACAUAUACAUUGUUAUAUAUACUUAUACAUAAGUAUAUUCAUGCAUAUAAGCAUGAUAUAAGUACAUAUAAAGUCUCUGACAAGGAGGGCACUGAUGAUUUUUAAGAGGCUUAUUUGACAUAAUAAUAAUUCAUUGAUCUCCCUUCCUUAUUGAGGGCUGAUAAUAGAAUAGUCUGAGGGGAAGAAUCCAUGCCAGACUCUUGGAUCAAAGGCUUUACCUCUUUGCUCACAUAGGUGCUGAAUCCAUGGCAUAUUUCCAAGUAAAAGUGCCUGCAGCAACAUUUGCUAAUUACAGGUUGUGUUCUACUGUUUCCAAACAGGGUGAAAGUGACAGAAGUUUAACUGUAAAUAAUUACACACUUGAAAUCAUGGAAUACCUCUUGUUGGAAGGGACCUGUAUGGAUCAUCUCCAGGCUGAACAGACCAAGUUACCUCAGCUACCCCUUGAAAGUCUUGCCUGAGAGGCUUUCACCAUCUUGGUUAUCCUGCUCUGGACAGUCUAAUAGUUUGAUUUUCUUCUUAUAUUAAGGCACUCAAAAUUGCACACAGUACUUGAGGUGGUGCCUUGCUUCACCUCUGCAGAGCAGAGAGAGACAAUCCCCUCCAUCAACUGGCUAUGCUGUCCUUGAUGCACACUGUGGGCCCUCCUGGCUGUCAGGGCACACUGCUUACUCUUAUUCAAUCUGUCAUAAAUUCAAACCCAUCAAUUUCAACAGGGCUGCUUUCCAGCCUUUUAUCCCCCUAUUUACAAGUAAAACCAUGAUUACUCCAUCCCACGGUGCUUGUUCUUACUAAAUUUCAUACAGUUGAUGAUAUCCAUCUCUCCCUUUAAGGCUCCUCUACUCGCAAGGGUGUACGCAGCUCCUUCUAAUUUAGUUUAAUUGGCAAAUUCAUUUAAUGUACAUUCAAGUUAUUUCAACCAGAAAAAAAAGUUUUCAUACACGACUAAUAAAAACUUAGUGAGAAGUCAAGAAACGGUAAUGAAGUCUGCUUAAAUAUAUAUGAUAUCUGUUAUUAUUAAUUAUGUUGAUUAUUGCUAUGACUAGGAAAUAAGUAAGAGGAAAACUACAGAUUUGCCUGGCCAAACGUGGAGUAGUCCCACCUCCAUAGAACAUGCACUAUAAACAGAUGAGUAAGAAUAGAGACAAUCAAGUCAACUGAACUAUGUGCUGUCAGCAGAUGUUUUUCCAGAUUUUUGGUGGAGCUAGGAUUCUAGGUAGAAGGCAAAUAAGUUAAUUAACUAGAAAGGAAUGAAAGGUCUGUCAGAAGCAGAGAGAGAAAGGGAUGGAAAGAGAUAAAGUGAGAAAGAAACAGAGACUCAAAGUAUGCUAUAGGCUCUUCCUUUCACUAGGUCAGACAUUUCCCUCUGAUGGAGGUCAGGCAGAUCAUAAUUCAUGACACAAUUGAAGCUCUCUUGCUGGCUUAAGUUUAGAAUUUAGAGCUAUUCACCACUUAAAAAACACACAAUAGAGUAAAUACUACUUAAUUGCUUCUGCAAUUAGUCCACUUAUCAUUCAGCCAGUAAUGACAGUUUUCACUUCCUCGGUCAUACAGUGACUAACUGUUACUUUUAGGUGGUAUCCCAUACCACCUACUUUUGGAUGGCAAACUGCACCAGAUUGCCAGAAACUGCUCUUAAUAUAUGUCAGCAUUCUUGUCUGAAAUAGUCUUAAACCUCUCCACUCACCGAGUACCUCUUUUACCACAUGAAAAUAUGACUAAUUUAAAAUAUUUAUUAAUUAAUAUUUUUACAUUUAAAAGUUACAUUUGCUUCUCCCAAACUUGCAGCACAACACAUUAUUUUUGAAUUUAAUAAUAUAUCCACUGUUUUCCAUGGUUCCCUUCCCUUCCAAAACCUUCCCUUCCCAAACCAUCCAAAACCUUUCCUUCCCUUCCAAAAUCUUCCAAAUUAUGGCAGAUUCAUGUGUAUCUUAACAUAAACUUCACCCAUCAGAAAUCAGAUUUAAUCUCCUUUUGAAAGGAGUUAUGAGAUUAGGUUUACAGCUAGUAUCUGUCUUAUACAUUUUACUUAUUUAGUGAAUCCAUUAGUUUUCUUUUGUUGGAGGGAGAAAUUUUAAUAUUAAGAGCUAAUUACAGAUACCUAAAGAAUGACAUAUAAUUUUUUUUUGGUAGGUUUUCUUAGAAAAGCAGCUAAUAAUGUAAGAGGCAUCUGACUGGAAGCUAGUUUUUUGCUGGCUACCUAAUACCAUUCCCAGGGUGCCAUCCCUCUCAUGCUUGUGGCAGUGGUUAUGUUUCACUCCUUAUCGCUUUUCAGUGCUAACAGUGAAUAAAUGAAAACGCCUUUUCCCUGGUCGUUUCCCUAAAUGUGCUCAUGGCCUUUGCCUUAUGUAUAGGCAAGCUGACAUUUUUCCCAACAUAAAGAGCAUAGAAAUGCUGGCAGCUACAGGGCUGUGGCACAAACAGCCAAACUGAUUUUCACAAAUGGACACACAAGUGUGUAGGUCUCUGUCAGAGAUUCUAAAUCAGAAAGUAUGUCAAACAGCUGCUCUGCUAUUGUCCCAACUUUGCCUUCACUGGGCAAUAAAACAAGUAUCAUUUGCUUUUGGUAAUCAACAUUUAUUUCUGCUUUGCAGUUGAUACAAACAUUGAAAAUAGCUGGUCACAAUAGACUUCAUGAUCCAGCUGCCAAAUGACCACAUAGAUAUUUCUGAGGCACCUUGCAGAUUAAGGCACCAGGCACAAUAAAGACACAUAUGGUGCACAAAAACGGGAACUGGACUGUACGUGACAAUUAACUGGACGAAGAUUGCAAAGCAGGCCUUGGAAUGGCAUUCAAAAUGAAUGGAAAUAUCCAAUUAUCAAACUCAGUGAAAUCUCCACAGCUGAUGGUGAUUGACUGUUUUCUAAGCACUGAUACUGAAAAAAAAAUGGUUCAAAACUAGCAAAGCUUGUAAAAAAUCAUUAUCCUUUCUAUGUCUUCCUGCUAGCUCUAGGAAGCACAUUACAAAGUUAUGCUUACUUUACAUGUUUACUAUUUUCAGAUACCUCUCUCCUUUAUUAGGAUAGGUACUUGCUGAGCCUGAGUGAAGGGUAAGAAAGUUCUAACUAGGUUAUUUACUGUAAUGUUACCAUAGCUACUUUUUUUUUUUUUUGGCAGCAUGAACUUACACAAAUAUAUUGUGGGCUUCAUAACUAUAUUUUCCCUAACAUUUCUCUGUUCAACUCUUAAACACUCUUCCGGUAAUUUUUCAGAUUUUGGUCUUUAGGGGUAAUUCAAGUGAUCUACUUUUUUGGAGAUGUGUCUUGACAGCAUUUUACACGAUAUAUUCAUGCUCUUUAUUCUAUCAUUCCUUCUUUCUACUCUAGUUAUUGUUUUCUAUAUCUGUGUGAUUUGUAGUGUCCUGCUUUCUUUUUGAUUGAACAUCUAUUAUUUCACAUUGGUCUGUUUAUUGUUCUCUCAGGCUAUUGCCAAAAUAUUUCUUAUAUAACAGUUAAAAAAUUAUAUAUGAUGCAAAGCAAGUAAAGAACCACAUGACAAUAAUUUGGGAUUUUUAAAAGCCAGAUUCCAUUAACUCUUCAUCAUAUACUUGUUAAAUAGCCUUAUCUUGGCACCCCCAUUACUAAGAUGGUCCUGGCAUCUUUAAACUGAAUCUGCUGGCUGUGCAAGCUUACCUGGGUCUCAGGGUUCAAACCUUCAGACUGGAUGUGAGACUUGCUGGUUGCCAAAGUAGGAUCCUCAGAAGUGGGGUUCUUGGAGCUGCUACACCAGAACAACCUGAUCCUGUCCUUAAAGGAGCACUCACAGAUAAGGGCCAAAUAUAUGGCAGAGGGGAAGCUAUUGUGUACUCCUCACUACAGCCUGUCAGUUUUAUUCUUGGUGAUGUUAGAAAUCUGAUUUUAAAUCCUUUAAAUGGAUCAACUGGACAAUUUUCCUUCAUCUCCUCCCUUUCUUAUUUUCAGUAUUAUCUAAUGUCAUACAAAACUAGAAGUUUUCUCCCUACUGCCUAAUUGCUUACUCAAUUCUGCUAGAUCUGCAAAAAUUCCACCUUCCUAGAAACAGAGGCUUUAGAGGAUUUUUCAUAAUUAAGGAUGUUUGAUCUAUGAAUUUUUUUCACAACUCUUAAAAAAAGUAAGUAUAAUACAGGUAAUAGGGGGCAGAGGUUUUUUUCCCUAAAGGAAAUUAAUUACUUCAACUCUUAUUUUCAUCCUGAAUUAGAAUGACAAGGUAAAGCAUAAAAUUUCUUCCUGCACUGUAAAUCUUUAAAAAAAUCUUUCCUUUAAGCAACAUGCUAAUUUUAGUUUUUAUAGUCAUACCUGCUAAAAUAUUGCAGUUAAGUAACUGUGGGUCAGCUCUCUGGGAUAUCCUGGACAGAAGGAUGGUGCAUGCAUGUAUACUGAGAUGCACAGGAGUAACAGCUGUUUGUCUGGGUUAUCCAGCUGUCCAGCAGCUCAGUCUUAGUUACUGUCACAGUUCCAUCAGGGAUGUGACUAAGGGUGGCAGGGUGGGCAGGAGGAUUCAUGGAUAUGACUACUGCUAUUACAAUGGGGUUUUUUUAUUCAUCAAGCUGCUGUUGGAUGCUUGCUUUCUUCUCAGUGUUAUACAAACCUGAAUACCACAGGGAUUUAUUAUAAUUCCAUAUGAACUAUGGACUCCAAAUGUGGGGUAAGCUAAAUCUCUCAUAUUAUAAUCCGUCCUAGGAGCUUUAGUCAUCCAUUCAGAAGGGAAACUGAAUUACUUUAUGGCAGAUAUAAUUAAAUCAAUGAUUUCUCUCUGUAGAAAAGCUCUAAGAGUGAUCCUAAAGAAUGCUGUUAUAUGCUUCUAUAGGGACUAACACAGGGACAAAAAAUAUUUAAACACUUUUUGAUUUCAUUUUUGCAAAUGAAAACGUUAAGAAUCAGAUUUACUUGCCCCAAGAUAAAAUAUUAUAUUUAAAAUUACCUAAAACAAACUUGAACGUUGUGGUAAAAUCAAAAUUUUAACAGAGACAACUUCAUCACAAAAAAUGUUGAGCAGAAAUUGUCCAAAAAUUCAACAAGUUUAUUUUGAUAUUUCAAGUCAUUGCAAACUAUCAACACCUUUAUUGAACUCCUCUGUUAGUAUCAAUAUUAAAAAGAGAAUAUUAACAGAUAAAUUACUCUUAGGUUUCAUUCUAUUCCCUUUAACAUUCUUUACUCAUCCUGAAAUUAGUAAAGUAUUAUUAAUGAUGUUCUCUAGUCUUUACAAUUAACAUUGUUCCUCAAAUUGUCUCAGCUCAGAAAAAGUGAGACAUUUCUCAUAUUGUAUCUACAUGGUGAUGUAAACUAGCAGAAGAUAUAGCAGCCUUGUAAAUACCCAAAUCUUUGGGUACAAAUUAGUCAGAGUUGAUAUGAACAUCAUGAAAUCCUUUGUCUUUAGAAUUUCCCUGUAUUAUAUCGUGGUGAGCUAUUUGCAUGUGAAUACUGUGAGUAAGCAAUGGUUUCUUACACUAUGUCACACUAUUCCUAUUAUUUCUCUGAAAUUAUAUCCAUAUAGUCUCUAUUAAAAUUGCCAUACCACAACUGCCAUAUUAGAGUGUAAAAAUAAAAAUUGCUGAAAAGUAAAUUAAUUGAGCUCAAAAUUUAAGAUAGACUGGUUCAGGAGAAUCAAUGGAAAGGGACUACAAAUGAAAAUGGUGGUACAGACAAUUAACACUUAAUGGAGACAGUGAAAGUGGAAUCUAUGCAUUUGCAACAACAGUCACCCAGCAGUGACUCCAAACAUUCAGACUGGGCAAUACAGGAGGAAGAAGGGAAUUGAGUUAGAAAGUAAAGGAGAAAAGAAGGAGGUAUGACAGGUGAAAUAGGUGAGACCUGUGGUAGAAUAAGAAAGUAAGCAGUAUGUGAGGCAUUGAGGAAGAAUUAUUUAACAAAGAGGAGAUGGAUGCAGAAGACAGAAUCACUGAAUUCCUUACAAUUCAAGAAUAUUUAAUGUUCCAAACUUUACUGCCUUCCUGAUUUUUUAAAUCCUAUAUCUUCUUUCAAUUCCUUUCAUGUUGCUAUUCAUAUUCUAAAUAACAAGGCAUUUUUAUCCUUUAGAAAACCAACAGACUCUACUGUUUGUUGCACAAUACCUAAGCUAUCAUUGUGUCAGGAUUAUGAUAAAAGGCUGACUUGAUUUAUGAAAAUAUAAUGUGAAUUUUUUUUUACCCCAACGACGGCUAGAGAGCUCUAAGAGAAACAUAUAGAUUAGGACCCAGAGUCAGCAGGAUAAUGAACUACUUUCUAUGAGUCUUUGGCAGUUUGAGGUACACGCUACAGAUUUUCCAUACAGAAUACUUUAAAACUCUUGUACAUUUUACCAUCUGCCCUAGAGUUCUAUUUCCAGAUAACUUGUUGAUCUUUACAACAAUGAUCUUGUAGUAUCACCAUCUAUUUGCAAAUAGUAGUUAUAUUUUAGCUCAUUCUUUUGCAACAGAGAGAGUUAUUUUCAGGAAUACUUAUACUCACAUAUUUAGCUACUUCCUUUCAGUGGCCUCCACACUAUAGCUUAAUUACUCCUAAAAAGAAAGUGCUUUGUUUCUCAGCUUUAACAGGUGUAGCAAGCUUUUACAGAAGUAGUCUCAGUGGAAAAGAGAGUUUGAAAGGCUUCAAAGCCCUCUUUCUAAAAACGCAUGAGGAAAAUUUGGUAGGAGGCUGAUCCCAAGUAUUCAGUUAUAUCUUUUGUGUUUUAAGUGUUUUAAGUCAGGACCUCAAUAACUAAAGUCAAGAGUUCUUUAGUUUUUGAAAUUUUUUUUCCUCUUUGCUCAUAAGAAAGAGCUUAGCUAUAUGACAAAUUCAAAACACAUGCACACAGACAGGCAUAGAUGUCUCUCUCCUUAGCUUUCCUUCCCAAGCCAUUAAAACCAAGAUCAACAAAGUUGAACUGCAGGGCAUUGUGGUUCUUUGAUUUCUGACUUAUAGACUAAAUGUCCUUCAAGGCUUUUAUAAAUUUCUCAACAAAAUAAUUAAGGGAGAAGCUUUUAGUUCACUCCUGCAUUACUCUGUGAGAAUGCCUCUUAGGUCAGAUUGGAGCUGCUCAAUGUUUCUUGCUGAAACAAGCAAGAAGUUGGAUAAAAUUAUCAGACACUAGCCCAGUACAAACAAAAGGUACAUUUGACAUAAUGUUUAACUAAACUGUAGAAAUCAUUAGUGCAGACUGUUGUGAAUGACAACAUUUCAUAAGGAUUCAAUAGUGAUUAGAUGUUCGAGUAGAAGCUGUUUUACACAAAGUCCUGGGAAUUCUACAGAAAAAAACUUGCACUUGAUAAACUUCCUCCACUAAAUAUUUACUAUUGGCCAUUUUGGAGUCAGAAGAGAGGGCCAACUGCAUUUUUUUACAUCAACAUGGUCAUUCCUAUGACAUGUUCCAUGCUCACAAACUGGUGUGCAAAAUAAAUUCUUCCACUUUCUAA